rnacentral:rRNA from 1 species
AGACCAGACUCCUACGGGAGGCAGCAGUGAGGAAUAUUGGUCAAUGGGCGGAAGCCUGAACCAGCCAAGUCGCGUGAGGGAAUAAGGCCCUACGGGUCUUAAACCUCUUUUGCCGGGGAGCAAGGGCGGGGACGUGUCCCGGCCCGGAGAGUACCCGGAGAAAAAGCAUCGGCUAACUCCGUGCCAGCAGCCGCGGUAAUACGGAGGAUGCGAGCGUUAUCCGGAUUUAUUGGGUUUAAAGGGUGCGUAGGCGGGCAUUUAAGCCGGCGGUCAAAUGUCGGGGCUCAACCCCGGCCUGCCGUCGGAACUGGGUGCCUUGAGUGGGCGAGAAGUAUGCGGAAUGCGUGGUGUAGCGGUGAAAUGCAUAGAUAUCACGAAGAACCCCGAUUGCGAAGGCAGCCUGCCGCAGCGUUACUGACGCUGAAGCUCGAAAGCGCGGGUAUCGAACAGGAUUAGAUACCCGUGUAGC